rnacentral:rRNA from 1 species
GCUUACGGCCACACCACCCUGAGCGCGCCCGAUCUCGUCUGAUCUCGGAAGCUAAGCAGGGUCGGGCCUGGUUAGUACUUGGAUGGGGCCGUAAGCU